CUCAUGGAUACAAAAUCCCAGAACUAUUUGAGAGGUUAUGGAUCUCUCUUGAGCAAGUGACACAAUGGCCUAAUAUACCUAUGGCCUCUAUAACACCUUCUAACAGCUCAAUAACCAACCACAGUAACCAGUCUGUAACCAACUUUGAACUAUUCUUACUACUAGAAUCUCUAAUCUACUACUUCUUAUUCUCAAGUUACUAUUCCUAAAAGACCUCCAAUCAGGUUCUGCCAUCUGGCUUUCUUUUCUUUAGUUUUUUUUUUACCCUAGCUAGCAACCAUAUCUGAUGGGUAAGUACCCAACCAGUUUUCCUCCCCUCUGAAGUCUCAAUCACGUGUUGUAGCAGAACCGCCUCCAUCCUCUCCGGGAAAAAUGGGUAAGUACCAACCCACUUUCCCUUCCGCCACUCUACCUCUAGAAAAUCCGUCCUUUUCCCCGAUUUUGUGCUAGGCCAGCGGUAUGAUUGUGAUAGAUUUCACCCGCUCCAGCUGUGGUUACGUUUGGCGGUUCACAAAAUCUACUCUUCGCGAUCUUUAGCCCCUUUCCAUGGCUUCUCCGACGUCAGCCAUCACUUCCCACCGUCAACAAUACUUGGGCAUUGCAAGGAGCACUACUCAGCAGUACAUACACUGUACUUGACAAUGCACAAACUGGAUUGAUUGCAACAUAUUUCUUCUAUAAAGGCCAAAAAAUUGAAGAUUGAAGCAAUCAUUCGGAAAUCAAUGAUCAGGAAGUACCGGGGUGAAAUUGCUUAGGGAAAGGUCUAUAAAAUUAUCUAUUUUGUCUUGGUGACCAAUGGUGGAGUGGGGUUGGCCAACCUCACAUGAAUUCAAGAUACUCUUCAAUGACAGGACAAGGAUAGUCCCUGAUGAAUCUGCUCCUAUUUUUUGUGUACCUAAAUCUUUUAUUGUGGUGAUGAUAACAUAGUGUGAAAGUGAAUAAUAAAAAGGCGUGAAGGUGGUUCUAUAACUGUGGGGGGAUUAACACAUUUGCUACAUAGAAAUUUUUUUAGAGCCAAACACUUCAUAUUGCACAAUCUUGGAGCUAUUCUUGGUUCCAAGACAAAUGAUAUAAUUCUUUCUAUGGUCUAAGA